UACGUAGGGACCAAGCGUUGUUCGGAUUUACUGGGCGUAAAGGGCGCGUAGGCGGCAAUUCAAGUCAUCUGUGAAAUCUCCGGGCUUAACUCGGAACGGUCAGGUGAAACUGCUUUGCUAGAGUGCGGAAGGGGCAAUCGGAAUUCUCGGUGUAGCGGUGAAAUGCGUAGAUAUCGAGAGGAACACCUGAGGUGAAGACGGGUUGCUGGGCCGACACUGACGCUGAAGCGCGAAAGCCAGGGAGCAAACGGG
rnacentral:rRNA from 1 species